rnacentral:rRNA from 1 species
UACGUAGGGGGCAAGCGUUGUCCGGAUUUAUUGGGCGUAAAGAGCGUGUAGGCGGCCAGAUAGGUCCGUUGUGAAAACUGGAGGCUUAACCUCCAGCUGUCGAUGGAAACCAUCUGGCUAGAGUCCGGAAGAGGAGAGUGGAAUUCCUGGUGUAGCGGUGAAAUGCGCAGAUAUCAGGAAGAACACCCGUGGCGAAGGCGGCUCUCUGGGACGGUACUGACACUGAGGGACGAAAGCUAGGGGAGCGAAUGGG